rnacentral:rRNA from 1 species
CUGGCUCGGGAUGAACGCUAGCGACAGGCCUAACACAUGCAAGUCGAGGGGCAGCAUGAUCAAAGCUUGCUUUGAUUGAUGGCGACCGGCGCACGGGUGCGUAACGCGUAUGCAACCUACCCAUUACCAAGGGAUAGCCCAGCGAAAGUUGGAUUAACACCUUAUUUGUAACGAGACCGCAUGAUUUAGUUAUGAAACGUUAGGGUAAUGGAUGGGCAUGCGUCUGAUUAGCUAGUUGGCGGGGUAACGGCCCACCAAGGCGACGAUCAGUAGGGGUUCUGAGAGGAAGGUCCCCCACAUUGGAACUGAGACACGGUCCAAACUCCUACGGGAGGCAGCAGUGAGGAAUAUUGGUCAAUGGACGGAAGUCUGAACCAGCCAAGUCGCGUGAAGGAAGACGGUUCUAUGGAUUGUAAACUUCUUUUGCCUGAGGGUAAAGUGUGGUACGUGUACCAUAUUGCAAGUAUCAGGUGAAUAAGCAUCGGCUAACUCCGUGCCAGCAGCCGCGGUAAUACGGAGGAUGCGAGCGUUAUCCGGAUUUAUUGGGUUUAAAGGGUGCGUAGGCGGGAUGUUAAGUCAGCGGUGAAAGUUUGCGGCUCAACCGUAAAAUUGCCGUUGAAACUGGCGUUCUUGAGUGUAAACGAGGUAGGCGGAAUGUAACGUGUAGCGGUGAAAUGCUUAGAUAUGUUACAGAACCCCGAUUGCGAAGGCAGCUUACCAGCAUACAACUGACGCUGAGGCACGAAAGCGUGGGUAUCAAACAGGAUUAGAUACCCUGGUAGUCCACGCAGUAAACGAUGAAUACUAGCAGUUGGCGAUAUAAAUGUCAGCGGUAAAGCGAAAGUGUUAAGUAUUCCACCUGGGGAGUACGCCGGCGACGGUGAAACUCAAAGGAAUUGACGGGGGCCCGCACAAGCGGAGGAACAUGUGGUUUAAUUCGAUGAUACGCGAGGAACCUUACCCGGGCUUGAAAGUUAGUGACGGUGGUGGAAACAUCACUUCCCUUCGGGGCACGAAACUAGGUGCUGCAUGGUUGUCGUCAGCUCGUGCCGUGAGGUGUCGGCUUAAGUGCCAUAACGAGCGCAACCCCUGUCGUUAGUUGCUAGCAGGUAAAGCUGAGAACUCUAACGAGACUGCUACUGUAAGGUAGAGGAAGGUGGGGAUGACGUCAAAUCAGCACGGCCCUUACGUCCGGGGCGACACACGUGUUACAAUGGGGGGGACAGAAGGCAGCGACCCGGCGACGGGGAGCGAAUCCCGAAACCCUCUCUCAGUUCGGAUCGGAGUCUGCAACCCGACUCCGUGAAGCUGGAUUCGCUAGUAAUCGCGCAUCAGCCAUGGCGCGGUGAAUACAAUCCCGGGCCUUGCACUCACCGCCCGUCA